rnacentral:rRNA from 1 species
GACGAACGCUGGCGGCGUGCCUAAUACAUGCAAGUCGAACGAACCGCGACUAAGUGCUUGCACUAAGUCAAGGUGAGUGGCGAACGGGUGAGUAACACGUGGGUAACCUACCUCAUAGUGGGGGAUAACAGUCGGAAACGACUGCUAAUACCGCAUAGGACAUAGGAUCACAUGAUCCAGUGAGGAAAGGUGGCGCAAGCUAUCGCUAAGAGAUGGACCCGCGGUGCAUUAGCUAGUUGGUAGGGUAAAGGCCUACCAAGGCGAUGAUGCAUAGCCGACCUGAGAGGGUGAACGGCCACAUUGGGACUGAGACACGGCCCAAACUCCUACGGGAGGCAGCAGUAGGGAAUCUUCCGCAAUGGACGCAAGUCUGACGGAGCAACGCCGCGUGAGUGAAGAAGGUCUUCGGAUCGUAAAGCUCUGUUGUUAGAGAAGACCAGCGCAUAGAGUAACUGCUAUGCGUGUGACGGUAUCUAACCAGAAAGCCACGGCUAACUACGUG